CAUGAUCCUGAAGGGUGAGGGGAGCAUCGGAGUGGACAUGUUUCACGCCGGCGUUAACGACACAAUGCUGCGGCAGACAGAGACGCUGAAGAGGGACUUCAGGAGCCUGAUCGAGAUGGUGCGCAGCACAUCGCCUGCAUGAUGAUCAUCGUGUCAGGACCACUUCCCACGUAUAGAUGAGGACAUGAAAGGCUUUUUAGAUCUCCUGUUGGACAACAUCUCCAGGACACUUCGCUCCAUAUGACUAGGUUGUGACGAGACACUUAUCCCACAAGACGAGACGAGACACGAGACACGAGACUGGGUUCAUGAGAGCGAGACAAGAUUUUUUUUUUUUUUAAAGAAACCCUCAAUGAUAAAAUAAAUAUUUCAUUUUUCUCUACUCCUUUUUCAUAGAACAUGCAUUUUCACAUCAAUUUAUUAAAAGUAAAAAAAAAAACAUGUUUAGGGCCCUAUGAAAUGUUUAUUUUUUUCCCCAGCAUAUUAUUUUUUUAUUAUUAUUGUUAACAAAUUCUGUAUUUUAGCAUGUCUAACUAUUUGAAUGCAUAACACAACUUAAUUUAUUCAUUUUAUUUUUUCUUAAAGGUAGCCUUACUGAUAUAGAUAUCAUAACUCAAAGUGUUGUUACUGACCACUUCCUUGUAUCAUGCAUGAUGCAUAUUACUGAGAUUAACUAUAUUUCCAAAAUGAGCAUUAUGAAUUUAAGAGCCUUACAUUACAUUUAUAACAAUCAUUGUUAAUGUUUGAAUUGUAUUUCAGGGCAGUUUGUGAAAACAGAUAAUCAAGAGAAGUCAGUUCCAGAUCCACCUUCCACACCAGACCUCUCUCUCACGAGGAUUGCUGUCUACUAGCCUUGUGUUCUCUACAGACUUCGGGGG